GGUUCAUAGCUCAGUGGUAGAGCUCUUGCCUAGUACAAGAGAGACCCUGGGUUCGAUCCUCAGCACCA
rnacentral:tRNA from 1 species